GGGUAUAACCUAUUUUAUAGCCGAUACCCUUUCUUUUGACACCCAUGCACGGACGCUUCUUGCAUGGUGGGCGAAUGUGCCAUAGCCCAUUUCAUGUGUAUGGGUAAAGCAGAUUAGAAGGCACCCUACAAUUUAUCUGUGCGAAAGGCGAAUACUUUUUUAAUUAUGA
ncrna:unclassified sequences RT-2 RNA